AUUGAACGCUGGCGGCAUGCCUAACACAUGCAAGUCGAACGGCAGCGCGGGGGCAACCCUGGCUGCGAGUGGCGGGCGGGUGAGGAAUGCAUAGGAAUCUGCCCGGCUGUGGGGGAUGACGUAGGGAAACUUACGCUAAUACCGCAUACGACCUUCGGGUGAAAGUGGGGGACCUUCGGGACUCACGCGAUCGGAUGAGCCUAUGCCCGAUUAGCUAGUUGGCGGGGUAAGAGCCCACCAAGGAGACGAUCGGUAGCUGGUCGGAGUGGAUGAUCAGCCACCCUGGAGCGUAGACACGGCCCAGACUCCUAAGGGAGGCAGCAGUCGGGAAUAUUGGACAAUGGGCGCAAGCCUGAUCCAGCAAUGCCGCGUGUGUGAAGAAGGCCUUCGGGUUGUAAAGCACUUUUGUUCGGUAAGAAAUCCGUGUGGUUAAUACCCGUACGGGAUGACGGUACCGAAAGAAUAAGCACCGGCUAACUUCGUG
rnacentral:rRNA from 1 species